ACUAAUCCUAUAAAAUCAAAC
rnacentral:miRNA from 1 species